rnacentral:rRNA from 1 species
GUAAAGGGAGCGCAGGCGGUUGAAAUAGUCUGAUGUGAAAGCCCACGGCUUAACCGUGGAAGGUCAUUGGAAACUGUUCAACUUGAAUACAGAAGAGGUAAGUGGAAUUCCAAGUGUAGCGGUGAAAUGCGUAGAUAUUUGGAGGAACACCAGUGGCGAAGGCGACUUACUGGUCUGUAAUUGACGCUGAGGCUCGAAAGCGUGGGUAGCAAACAGGAUUAGAUACCCUGGUAGUCCACGCCGUAAACGAUGAGUGCUAAGUGUUAGGGGGUUUCCGCCCCUUAGUGCUGGAGUUAACGCAUUAAGCACUCCGCCUGGGGAGUACGGCCGCAAGGCUGAAACUCAAAGGAAUUGACGGGGACCCGCACAAGCGGUGGAGCAUGUGGUUUAAUUCGACGCAACGCGAAGAACCUUACCAACUCUUGACAUCUUCUGAUCACCCUAGAGAUAGGGCUUUCCCUUCGGGGACAGAAUGACAGGUGGUGCAUGGUUGUCGUCAGCUCGUGUCGUGAGAUGUUGGGUUAAGUCCCAUAACGAGCGCAACCCUUAUUGUUAGUUGCCAGCAUUCAGUUGGGCACUCUAGCGAGACUGCCGGUGAUAAACCGGAGGAAGGUGGGGAUGACGUCAAAUCAUCAUGCCCCUUAUGAGUUGGGCUACACACGUGCUACAAUGGACGGUACAACGAGUAGCGAUCCCGCAAGGGUUAGCGAAUCUUAAUAAGCCGUUCUCAGUUCGGAUUGGGGUCUGCAACUCGACCUCAUGAAGUCGGAGUCGCUAGUAAUCGCAGAUCAGCAACGCUGCGGUG